CACGUAGUUAGCCGGGGCUUCUUAGUCGGGUACCGUCCUCUUUCUUCCCCGCUGAUAGAGCUUUACAUACCGAGAUACUUCCUCGCUCACACGGCGUUGCUGCGUCAGGGUUUCCCCCAUUGCGCAAUAUUCCCCACUGCUGCCUCCCGUAGGAGUUUGGGCCGUGUCUCAGUCCCAAUGUGGCCGGCCACCCUCUCAGGUCGGCUACUGAUCGUCGCCUUGGUGGGCCUUUACCCCGCCAACCAGCUAAUCAGACGCGGGCCCAUCCCAUACCACCGGAGUUUUCGCCCGGGGCCAUGCGGCCUCGCGCGCUUACGCGGUAUUAGCGGUCAUUUCUAACCGUUAUCCCCCGGUAUGGGGCAGGUUACCCACGCGUUACUCACCCGUCGCCGCUAAGUCACUCCCGCUUCCUUCCGAAAAAUUCCGCGUGAGCGCUUCGCUCGACUUGCAUGUGUUAAGCACGCCGCCAGCGUUCAUCCUGAGCCAGGAUCAAAACUCU
rnacentral:rRNA from 1 species